AUUUCGCCGAAUCGUUCAGAUCUUCGCCUCCUCCUUACCAAUUUCGUCCCAAUUUUCAAAUUUUCAGGUGUUGAUAUAGAGAUUUAAAGGGGAAAUUUUGAAGGAGAUUGUAGAUUUGGUAUUAGAUUAUA